rnacentral:rRNA from 1 species
UACGAAGGUCCCAAGCGUUGUUCGGAAUUACUGGGCUUAAAGGGUGCGUAGGCGGUGCUACAAGUCGGGUGUGAAAUCCCUCAGCUUAACUGAGGAACUGCGCCCGAAACUGUAGUGCUGGAGUGAGGCAGGGGUGAGCGGAACUGAUGGUGGAGCGGUGAAAUGUGUUGAUAUCAUCAGGAACACCGGUGGCGAAGGCGGCUCACUGGGCCUUUACUGACGCUGAGGCACGAAAGCUAGGGGAGCAAACGGG